CCAAAACACAGGCAACUGUACUCCAAAACACAGGUAACUGUCCUCCAAAUCACAGGUAACUAUACUCCAAAAGACAGGUAACUAUACUCCAAAACACAGGUAACUGUACUCCGAAACAGAGGUAACUAUACUCCAAAACACAGGUAACUAUACUCCAAAACACAUGUAACAAUGUUUCAAAACACAGGUAACUGUCCUCCCAAUCACAGGUAACUAUACUCCAAAACACAGGCAACUGUACUCCAAAACACAGGUAACUGUCCUCCCAAUCACAGGUAACAAUAUUUCAAAACACAGGUAUCUGUCCUCCAAAUCACAGGUAACUAUACUCUAAAACACAGGUAACAAUAUUUCAAAACACAGGUAACUGUCCUCCAAAUCACAGGUAACUAUACUCCAAAACACAGGUAACAAUAUUUCAAAACACAGGUAACUGUCCUCCCAAUCACAGGUAACAAUAUUUCAAAACACAGGUAUCUGUCCUCCAAAUCACAGGUAACUAUACUCUAAAACACAGGUAACAAUAUUUCAAAACACAGGUAACUGUCCUCCAAAUCACAGGUAACUAUACUCCAAAACACAGGUAACAAUAUUUCAAAACACAGGUAACUGUCCUCCAAAUCACAGGUAACCAUACUCCAACACAAAGGUAACAAUAUUUCAAAACACAGGCCACUGUACUCCAAAUCACAGGUAACUAUACUCUAAAACACAGGUAACAAUAUUUCAAAACACAGGUAACUGUCCUCCAAAUCACAGGUAACUAUACUCCAAAACACAGGUAACAAUAUUUCAAAACACAGGUAGCUGUACUCCAAACCACAGAUAACUAUACUCUAAAACACAGGUAACUAUAGUCUAAAACACAGGUAAUAAUAUUUCAAAACACAGGCCACUGUACUCCAAAUCACAGGUAACUAUACUCCAAAACACAGAUAACUGUACUCCAAAACAAAGGUAACAAAACUCCAAAACACAGGUAACUAUACUCCAAAACACAGGUAACAAUAUUUCAAAACACAGGUAACUGUCCUCCAAAUCACAGGUAACCAUACUCCAACACAAAGGUAACAAUAUUUCAAAACACAGGUAACUGUACUCCAAAUCACAGGCAACUGUACUCCAAAACACAGGUAACUGUACUCCAAAUCACAGGCAACUGUACUCCAAAACACAGGUAACUGUACUCCAAAACACAUGUAACAAUGUUUCAAAACACAGGCAACUGUACUCCAAAACACAGGUAACUAUACUCCAAAACACAUGUAACAAUGUUUCAAAACACAGCUAACUGUACUCCAAAACACAGGUAACAAUAUUUCAAAACACAGGCAACUGUCCUCCCAAUCACAGGUAACUAUACUCCAAAACACAGGCAACUGUACUCCAAAACACAUGUAACAAUGUUUCAAAACACAGGUAACUGUACUCCAAAUCACAGGUAACUAUACUCCAAAACACAGGUAACAAUAUUUCAAAACACAGGUAACUGUCCUCCAAAUCAGAGGUAACUGUACUCUAAAACACAGGUAACAAAACUCCAAAACACAGGUAACAAUAUUUUAAAACACAGGUAACUGUCCUCCAAAUCAGAGGUAACUGUACUCUAAAACACAGGUAACAAAACUCUAAAACACAGGUAACUAUACUUUAAAACACAGGUAACAAUAUUUCAAAACACAGGCCACUGUACUCCAAAUCACAGAUAACUAUACUCCAAAACACAGGUAACAAUAUUUCAAAACACAGGCCACUGUACUCCAAAUCACAGGUAACUAUACUCUAAAACACAGGUAACAAUAUUUCAAAACACAGGCCACUGUACUCCAAACCACAGAUAACUAUACUCUAAAACACAGGUAACAAUAUUUCAAAACACAGAUAAUUGUACUCCAAAACAAAGGUAACAAAACUCCAAAACACAGGUAACGAAACUCCAAAACACAGGUAGCUGUACUCCAAAUCACAGGUAACUAUACUCCAAAACACAGGUAACAAUAUUUCAAAACACAGGUAGCUGUACUCCAAAUCACAGGUAACUAUACUCCAAAACACAGAUAACUGUACUCCAAAACAAAGGUAACAAAACUCCAAAACACAGGUAACAAAACUCCAAAACACAGGUAACGAAACUCCAAAACACAGGCCACUGUACUCCAAAUCACAGGUAGCUAUACUCCAAAACACAGGUAACAAUAUUUCAAAACACAGGUAGCUGUACUCCAAACCACAGAUAACUAUACUCUAAAACACAGGUAACUAUACUCUAAAACACAGGUAACAAUAUUUCAAAACACAGGUAACCAUACUCCAAAACACAGAUAACUGUGCUCCAAAACACAGGUAACAAUACUCCAAAACAUAGAUACUUAUACUCCAAAACACAGUUAAUUAUACUCUGCAACACAAGUAACUAUACUCUAAAACACAGGUAAUUAUAUUCUAAAAGAAAAGUAUCAGUACUCCCAAACACAGGUAACUAUAAUCCAAAACACAGGCAACUAUACCCCAAAACAAAAGAAUCAAUACCCCAAAGACAGGUAACUAUACUCUAAAACAGAAAAUCAGUACUCCUCAACACAAGUGACUAUACUCCAAAACACAGGUAAUUAUAUUCUAAAAGAAAAGUAUCAGUACUCCCAAACACAGGUAACUAUAAUCCAAAACACAGGCAACUAUACCCCAAAACAAAAGAAUCAAUACCCCAAAGACAGGUAACUAUACUCUAAAACAGAAAAUCAGUACUCCUCAACACAAGUGACUAUACUCCAAAACACAGGUAAUUAUACUCUAAAACAAAAGUAUCAGUACUCCCAAACACAGGCAACUCUGCUCUUAAACACAAGUAAUUAUGCUCUGCAACACAAGUAACUAUACUCCAAAACAAAGGUAUCAGUGCCCCCAAAGAAAGGUAACUGUACUCUAAAACACAUGUAACUAUACUCCAAAACAAAAGUAUCAGUACUCCCAAACACAGGUAACUACACUCCCAAACACAGGUCAGUACACUUUUAAACAAAAGUAUCAGUACUCCGAAACACAGGUAACUAUACUCUAAAACAGAAGUAUCAGUACUCCGAAACACAGGUAACUAUACUCUAAAACAGAAGCAUCAGUACUCCCAACCACAGGUAACUAUAUUCCCAAACACAGGUCAGCACACUUUUAAACAAAAGUAUCAGUACUCCGAAACACAGGUAACUAUACUCUAAAACAAAAGUAUCAGUACUCCCAAACACAGGUAACUAUACUCUAAAACAGAAGUAUCAGUACUCUCAAACACAGGUAGCCAUUCGUCUUAAAGACAUAAAUGACUGUGAAUUUAAUUCAGUCAGUGUCAGUGGAGGGGGGUUUGGGUUUGGACAUUAAUGAGUGUAAAAUGUGCUGUUGAGCGACGGGCUGUAUCUC